rnacentral:rRNA from 1 species
CCCAUCAGUGGGGGAUAACCCGGGCAAACUCGGGCUAAUACCGCAUACGUCCUACGGGACAAAGCAGGGGACCUUUUGGCCUUGCGCUGAUGGAUGAGCUCGCGUCGGAUUAGCUUGUUGGUGAGGUAAAGGCUCACCAAGGCGACGAUCCGUAGCUGGUCUGAGAGGAUGAUCAGCCACACCGGGACUGAGACACGGCCCGGACUCCUACGGGAGGCAGCAGUGGGGAAUCUUGGACAAUGGGGGCAACCCUGAUCCAGCCAUGCCGCGUGUGUGAAGAAGGCCUUCGGGUUGUAAAGCACUUUCAGUAGGGAGGAAGGCUUCCGGUUAAUACCCGGGAGUACUUGACGUUACCUACAGAAGAAGCACCGGCUAAUUUCGUGCCAGCAGCCGCGGUAAUACGAAAGGUGCAAGCGUUAAUCGGAAUUACUGGGCGUAAAGCGCGCGUAGGCGGUGUGUUAAGUCGGAUGUGAAAGUCCAGGGCUCAACCUUGGAAUUGCAUUCGUCAUGGGCUCGCUAGAGUCCAGUAGAGAGAGGCCUUAUUAGUCGUGAAUCUGAUCAUGGCGCAGAAUUAGAUACCCUGGUAGUCCUGAGUUUGAUCCUGGCUCAGGAUUAGAUACCCUGGUAGUC